UACGUAGGAGGCAAGCGUUGUCCGGAAUUACUGGGUGUAAAGGGCGUGUAGGCGGGACUGCAAGUCAGAUGUGAAAUUCCCAGGCUCAACCUGGGGGCUGCAUCUGAAACUGUGGUUCUUGAGUGCUGGAGAGGAAAGCGGAAUUCCUAGUGUAGCGGUGAAAUGCGUAGAUAUUAGGAGGAACACCAGUGGCGAAGGCGGUUUUCUGGACAGUAACUGACGCUGAGGCGCGAAAGUGUGGGGAGCAAACAGG
rnacentral:rRNA from 1 species